GACGAACGCUGGCGGCGUGCUUAACACAUGCAAGUCGAACGAAGUGGCGAACGGGUGAGUAACGCGUAAUCAACCUGCCCUUCAGAGGGGGAUAACAGUUGGAAACGACUGCUAAUACCGCAUACUGAAGGUGGGGAUUGCGUCGGAUUGGCUAGUUGGAGGGGUAACGGCCAACCAAGGCGAUGAUCAGUAGUCGUUCUGUGAGAAUGAGCGGCCACAUUGGGACCGAGACACGGCCCAGGCUCCUACGGGAGGCAUCAGUGGGGAAUCUUCCGCGAUGGACGAAAGACUGACGGAGAAACGCCGCGUAAGUGAGGACGGCCUUCGGGUUGUAAAGCUCUGUUAAUCGGGACGCGGUACCGGAAUAGAAAGCCACGGCUAACUACGUGCCAGCCGCCGCGGUAAUUC
rnacentral:rRNA from 1 species